UACGGAGGAUCCGAGCGUUAUCCGGAUUUAUUGGGUUUAAAGGAAGCGUAGGUGGAUUGUUAAGUCAGUUGUGAAAGUUUGCGGCUCAACCGUAAAAUUGCAGUUGAAACUGGCAGUCUUGAGUACAGUAGAGGUGGGCGGAAUUCGUGGUGUAGCGGUGAAAUGCUUAGAUAUCACGAAGAACUCCGAUUGCGAAGGCAGCUCACUAGACUGCAACUGACACUGAUGCUCGAAAGUGUGGGUAUCAAACAGG
rnacentral:rRNA from 1 species